GUUCAUCGUCUUUGAAUUGACAUGAGGAUAUCUAUGGAAAAGUAACUAAUCUGAAAGUAAGCCAACAUAUCGUUUGUCCUUUGUGUGCUAAAGAAAAGAUUUUCUUUUCGCAUCAUGAGGAAGUAUUACAUCAAUUAAAAAAUGUUAGGAAGUUGAUUACUUGUCAUGGAAAAGUAUACCAAUGGAAAUUAUUUGUUAAAGAAGUAUAAUUCUAAGGGUUUUAAGAAUAAAUUGGUUGAACCCAAAAUCUGGAGGAAGUACCUAUAUCCAUACACAGAAUAUGCCCAUUAAAAAUACUAGUCCAAAUUUGCUUUAAUGGUAGACAAUUAUUCAAUACAAAUUAACUUUUUAAGUGACUGAAAUAUUAAAUAGUUUAGAAUAUGGUAUAACAAUGUAAAAAAAUAUUAUUUUCAGGAACGAUUAGGGCCCGAUAUAUUUGAAACUCAUGUUGGACAUAGUAUUGAGUUGGGUAGAAUAUUAUUCUACGUUAAGUGAGGGUAUCAGAUACCUAUUAUUGUACUGUAUUUUAAUAUAUACAUUAGAAUUGUUGGUUUUUU